GGAACGGCGAUCAUAAGAGUAGCUGGGUAUAUCCUAAUUAAGAAAAUUUGGGAAAAAUUAUAUAAUUUUUUACUCUGAAUAUUUAUUUAAUAUAUAAAUUUUAUAUAAAUUUAAGAUUUUAGCGUAGUUUUUGAUUGCGUUCGAUUUCUUAAUACGAAUUUGUAUAUAAGUGGAUAAGAUAUUAUCUCUAUAUACAUUUAAUCACUAUCUUUUUAUUUAAAGUAAAAUUUAAUUUUAAGCAAGUAAGAUUUUAACUAUAUCGAUGAUAGGUGUAAUAAAUAAAAUUAACAUUUUUAGUCUUCUGCGGCACUCGUUCAAA
rnacentral:rRNA from 1 species